rnacentral:tRNA from 1 species
AGGGAUGUGGCUCAGUGGUAGAGCACUUGCCUACCAUGCACAAGACCCUGGCUUUGAUUCCCAGCACUGCAA